UAUAAGCACAACCAUAAAUUUUCGUGCUCAAUUUUAAUCAUCCGUCUUAUUUGAAUUUUUUAUGUUUAAUUUUUUUAUUAUUAUUAGAUGAUAAAACAUAAAUAAUAGACUUAUGUUUUUUAAUUUUUAUAAAAAAAUUUUAAAUAAGACUAACGAUUAAAGCUCGACACGGAUAUUUAUGAUCGCGUUUAUA
rfam:Oryza punctata chromosome 4, whole genome shotgun sequence.